rnacentral:tRNA from 1 species
GCUCCUGUGGUGUAAUCCGGUUUAGCAUUUUGGCCUUUCAAGCCGAAGAUAUGGGUUCAAAUCCCAGCGGGAGCA